AUUGAACGCUGGCGGCAUGCCUUACACAUGCAAGUCGAACGGUAACGGGCCUUCGGGUGCCGACGAGUGGCGAACGGGUGAGUAAUACAUCGGAACGUGCCCGAUCGUGGGGGAUAACGAGGCGAAAGCUUUGCUAAUACCGCAUACGAUCUACGGAUGAAAGCAGGGGACCGCAAGGCCUUGCGCGGACGGAGCGGCCGAUGGCAGAUUAGGUAGUUGGUGGGAUAAAAGCUUACCAAGCCGACGAUCUGUAGCUGGUCUGAGAGGAUGAUCAGCCACACUGGAACUGAGACACGGCCCAGACUCCUACGGGAGGCAGCAGUGGGGAAUUUUGGACAAUGGGCGCAAGCCUGAUCCAGCCAUGCCGCGUGCAGGAUGAAGGCCUUCGGGUUGUAAACUGCUUUUGUACGGAACGAAAAACCUUCUAUUAAUACAGGAGGGUCAUGACGGUACCGUAAGAGUAAGCACCGGCUAACUACGUG
rnacentral:rRNA from 1 species